rnacentral:snRNA from 1 species
UCAGCUCUCUUUGCCUUUUGGCUUAGAUCAAGUGUAGUAUCUGUUCUUUUCAGUUUAAUCUCUGAAAGUGUUCUAUCGGAACACCUUAUUGAUUAUUCUCAUUUUUGGAGAUGGCUCGAGAGUCUCUGCGCUUGCGUAUGCUGUCUUGCAUUGUGUCCUUGGUCCUACACUACCAUCAAGUGACGCGAAUCACCU